UACGGGGGGGGCAAGCGUUGUUCGGAAUUACUGGGCGUAAAGGGCUCGUAGGCGGCCAACUAAGUCCGACGUGAAAUCCCAAGGCUUAACCUUGGAACUGCGUCGGAUACUGGAUGGCUUGAAUUCGGGAGAGGGAUGCAGAAUUCCAGGUGUAGCGGUGAAAUACGUAGAUAUCUGGAGGAAUACCGGUGGCGAAGGCGGCAUCCUGGACCGAGAUUGACACUGAUGAGCGAAAGCUAGGGGAGCAAACGGG
rnacentral:rRNA from 1 species